rnacentral:rRNA from 1 species
ACGGGAGACACACGGCGGGUGCUAACGUCCGUCGUGAAGAGGGAAACAACCCAGACCGCCAGCUAAGGUCCCAAAGUCAUGGUUAAGUGGGAAACGAUGUGGGAAGGCCCAGACAGCCAGGAUGUUGGCUUAGAAGCAGCCAUCAUUUAAAGAAAGCGUAAUAGCUCACUGGUCGAGUCGGCCUGCGCGGAAGAUGUAACGGGGCUAAACCAUGCACCGAAGCUGCGGCAGCGACGCUUAUGCGUUGUUGGGUAGGGGAGCGUUCUGUAAGCCUGCGAAGGUGUGCUGUGAGGCAUGCUGGAGGUAUCAGAAGUGCGAAUGCUGACAUAAGUAACGAUAAAGCGGGUGAAAAGCCCGCUCGCCGGAAGACCAAGGGUUCCUGUCCAACGUUAAUCGGGGCAGGGUGAGUCGACCCCUAAGGCGAGGCCGAAAGGCGUAGUCGAUGGGAAACAGGUUAAUAUUCCUGUACUUGGUGUUACUGCGAAGGGGGGACGGAGAAGGCUAUGUUGGCCGGGCGACGGUUGUCCCGGUUUAAGCGUGUAGGCUGGUUUUCCAGGCAAAUCCGGAAAAUCAAGGCUGAGGCGUGAUGACGAGGCACUACGGUGCUGAAGCAACAAAUGCCCUGCUUCCAGGAAAAGCCUCUAAGCAUCAGGUAACAUCAAAUCGUACCCCAAACCGACACAGGUGGUCAGGUAGAGAAUACCAAGGCGCUUGAGAGAACUCGGGUGAAGGAACUAGGCAAAAUGGUGCCGUAACUUCGGGAGAAGGCACGCUGAUAUGUAGGUGAAGUCCCUCGCGGAUGGAGCUGAAAUCAGUCGAAGAUACCAGCUGGCUGCAACUGUUUAUUAAAAACACAGCACUGUGCAAACACGAAAGUGGACGUAUACGGUGUGACGCCUGCCCGGUGCCGGAAGGUUAAUUGAUGGGGUUAGCGCAAGCGAAGCUCUUGAUCGAAGCCCCGGUAAACGGCGGCCGUAACUAUAACGGUCCUAAGGUAGCGAAAUUCCUUGUCGGGUAAGUUCCGACCUGCACGAAUGGCGUAAUGAUGGCCAGGCUGUCUCCACCCGAGACUCAGUGAAAUUGAACUCGCUGUGAAGAUGCAGUGUACCCGCGGCAAGACGGAAAGACCCCGUGAACCUUUACUAUAGCUUGACACUGAACAUUGAGCCUUGAUGUGUAGGAUAGGUGGGAGGCUUUGAAGUGUGGACGCCAGUCUGCAUGGAGCCGACCUUGAAAUACCACCCUUUAAUGUUUGAUGUUCUAACGUUGACCCGUGAUCCGGGUUGCGGACAGUGUCUGGUGGGUAGUUUGACUGGGGCGGUCUCCUCCUAAAGAGUAACGGAGGAGCACGAAGGUUGGCUAAUCCUGGUCGGACAUCAGGAGGUUAGUGCAAUGGCAUAAGCCAGCUUGACUGCGAGCGUGACGGCGCGAGCAGGUGCGAAAGCAGGUCAUAGUGAUCCGGUGGUUCUGAAUGGAAGGGCCAUCGCUCAACGGAUAAAAGGUACUCCGGGGAUAACAGGCUGAUACCGCCCAAGAGUUCAUAUCGACGGCGGUGUUUGGCACCUCGAUGUCGGCUCAUCACAUCCUGGGGCUGAAGUAGGUCCCAAGGGUAUGGCUGUUCGCC